UAGAUUGUAUUGAAUUCCGAUGCUGCCAUCAGCCAUGUUGGGAUUCUAACCCUAAUCCUCGGAACACUGUACAUAUCACUCAUCUGGCAGGAAUACCAUUAAGCCAUUGCCUCCCUCUUUAGCAAUGUUUCAAAGAAAGUUCCAUCAUUCUAGGUGUACAAUGUGAGAUAAAAUACUGCAACGUCCAUGUGUCAGCCUCUCCAAAAGGAUGAGGCUGUCACUGGCUCGGCCAGCAUUUAUUGCUGCGUUUACCUAGAGGGCAGUUAAGAGUCAACCACCUUGCUAUAGAUCUUGAGUCCAGACCAUGCAGACCAGACCAGAUACCAAUGAUCAGUGCCAAAGCCCCAUUGCCUGUGGAGAAGAUGAUGUUUGACUUCCUUGUACAGCUGCAGUUCGUGUGGUGAAGAUGCUCCCACAAUGUGUUUGGGUCACCAUUCAGCCUCUGACACUCCAGGAAAAGAGCCUAUCCAACCCUUGCAACAUGCAAUAAUUCUUUUCUGAUCUCUUUAAAGUUCAAGAACAUCCAUCUGAUAGGAAGAAGAACAGAAUUAUAUGGAAUAUUGAUUCAGCAACUUUUGCAAUGUCCUGUACAGCCGCAAUAUGACCUCCCAACCCCUAUUUUCAAUGCUCUGACCAAUAAAGACAAGC